rnacentral:lncRNA from 1 species
GAAAAGGAGACAGCCGCGGGAAGAAGAAGAAGGAGAGAGAAAAGAGGAAAGGAGAAGGAAGAAGGAAAAGCGAAAGAAAAAGAAGGAAGAAAGAGAGGGGAAGAGGGGAGAAGGGAAAAGAGGGAGACGGCGGGAAUUGCGGGAUUUAAUGGUACGCGUGAUGGAGUUGAUAGGCACGCGGCGAAAAUUACGGGGAACGGAUAAAGAGGGUCGAUGACAUUGGGGCCGGAACGGCGAAUCCGAUGGAAAGGAAGAGAUUUGACGAGGCUCAGCGGUCGGAAAAUUUUGGAAUGCAUUUUUAACGAGUGGUUUAAUUUGGUAGAUUUUUACGGGCGUUACAAACCUACCCCACUUAAAUUGAAUCUCGUCCUCGAGAUUCGGCUGAAUUCUGAAAAGAUGGGGAAACUCCUUCUUUAACGCAUCCUCGUGUUCCCAAGUAGCUUCUUCCUCACCAUGCCUACUCCAUUGGACUCUGCAAAUUCGCACUACUGAAUUCCUUUUCCUUCUGGUGACGGUGUCCAGAAUCUUGAUGGGCACCUCCUGAUAUCG